GGUGUUGUAGCUCAGUGGUAGAGCGCUUGCCUCGAAUGCAUGAGGCACUGGGUUCAAUUCUCAGCACCACAU
rfam:Ictidomys tridecemlineatus contig020654, whole genome shotgun sequence.